UACGUAGGGGGGCAAGCGUUGUCCGGAUUUAUUGGGCGUAAAGAGCGUGUAGGCGGCUAGGUAGGUCCGUUGUGAAAACUCGAGGCUCAACCUCGAGACGUCGAUGGAAACCAUCUAGCUAGAGUCCGGAAGAGGAGAGUGGAAUUCCUGGUGUAGCGGUGAAAUGCGCAGAUAUCAGGAAGAACACCCGUGGCGAAGGCGGCUCUCUGGUACGUGACUGACGCUGAGACGCGAAAAGCGUGGGGGAG
rnacentral:rRNA from 1 species